rnacentral:rRNA from 1 species
GAUGAACGCUGGCGGUAUGCUUAACACAUGCAAGUCGAACGGACUCUUCGGAGUUAGUGGCGGACGGGUGAGUAACGCGUGAGAAUCUGGCUUUGGGUUCGGGACAACCACUGGAAACGGUGGCUAAUACCGGAUGUGCCGAGAGGUAAAAGAGAAAUUGCCUGAAGAUGAGCUCGCGUCUGAUUAGCUAGUUGGUGAGGUAAAGGCUCACCAAGGCAGCGAUCAGUAGCUGGUCUGAGAGGAUGACCAGCCACACUGGGACUGAGACAUGGCCCAGACUCCUACGGGAGGCAGCAGUGGGGAAUUUUCCGCAAUGGGCGAAAGCCUGACGGAGCAAUACCGCGUGAGGGAAGAAGGCUCUUGGGUUGUAAACCUCUUUUCUUAGGGAAGAACAAAAUGACGGUACCUAAGGAAUCAGCAUCGGCUAACUCCGUG